rnacentral:rRNA from 1 species
GACGAACGCUGGCGGCGUGCCUAAUACAUGCAAGUAGAACGCUGAAGGAGGAGCUUGCUUCUCCGGAUGAGUUGCGAACGGGUGAGUAACGCGUAGGUAACCUGCCUGGUAGCGGGGGAUAACUAUUGGAAACGAUAGCUAAUACCGCAUAACAGUAGAUAUCGCAUGAUAUCUGCUUGAAAGGUGCAAUUGCAUCACUACCAGAUGGACCUGCGUUGUAUUAGCUAGUUGGUGAGGUAACGGCUCACCAAGGCGACGAUACAUAGCCGACCUGAGAGGGGGAUCGGCCACACUGGGACGGAGACACGGCCCAGACUCCUACGGGAGGCAGCAGUAGGGAAGCUUCGGCAAUGGACGGAAGUCGGACCGAGAAACGCCGCGGGAGUGAAGAAGGGUGUCGGAUCGUAAAGCUCGGUUGUAGGAGAAGAACGAGUGUGAGAGUGGAAAGUUCACACUGUGACGGUAUCUUACCAGAAAGGGACGGCUAACUACGUG